rnacentral:rRNA from 1 species
UACGUAGGGUGCGAGCGUUAAUCGGAAUUACUGGGCGUAAAGCGUGCGCAGGCGGUGAUGUAAGACAGGUGUGAAAUCCCCGGGCUUAACCUGGGAACUGCAUUUGUGACUGCAUCGCUGGAGUGCGGCAGAGGGGGAUGGAAUUCCGCGUGUAGCAGUGAAAUGCGUAGAUAUCGGAAGGAACACCAGUGGCGAAAGCGGCUUCCUGGUCCAGCACCGACGUUCAGGCACGAAAGCGUGGGGGAGCAAACAGG